rnacentral:misc_RNA from 1 species
UCAAACACCAGGUAAUUGCUAUAAGUCGUUGAAGAGUUCCCUCGACUAUCUUUCGUCUCCAUCAUCAGACUGAAAUGGCACUUAUAACUCAUACAUAUGCAAAGUUCUCAUCAAUAGAAACGAAUUGAGUUCAAACAGCAGGUAAUUGCUAUAAAUCGUUAAAGAGUUCCCUCGACUAACUUUUGUCUCCAUCAUCAGACUGUAAUGGCACUUAUAACUCAUACAGGUGCAAAGUUCUCAUCAAU